AGAAACUUCACUGGUAGAAUUAGCCAUUUCUGAGUGACUGACAGCAGCUUUGCAAGAGAGACACAGACCAUGAUGCCAACAGGGAGAUGCAAAAGGACUCAGAUACACAGACUGCUGCAAACUCAAACUUCUUACUGCCCAUGCUCCACAUGGGUUGGACACGAAGAACUGGAAAACUUACAUAGCUCUCAGAGUGUGGCCAGAGAAACUGAGGCUGUCAGCUCUUAUUUACGUGGAUGUACUCUCAGACACUGUUUUGCUCAAAGUGCAUAAAUGAAAUGUUAAAAUAGAAGAAAACAAACGGAUAACAGAUGACUGUGGCUAUUCAUGCUUACAUACUUAGAAGCCUGGACAGAGGAUAAAGAUGUCCCAGAAGCAUCUGUCUAUAGAGAAUGUGGGGCAUAUGCUGUGAGUUCUACACCCGCAGGCAGAACUGUGAGCAACAGCACAGGUGCUAUACACUGGCUCUGCACAUCUGCAGGGAACGUGGUUCCAGAUUUCUACACAGUCUGCAGUAUUGCUGGAACUACUGCAGCAUAUUUGUACUGCUUCGACUGCUUUUGCUCCAACCAGGCUACAAAACCGCUUGGAUUUCCUGAACAAAUCCAAAGUCCUCACAUUCUGGGCACUAAAAACGACACAGCUGAAGAACCUGAAUGGAUUAGCCAAGAGGUACAUUCACAGAUUACUCUAAAGAGCUCACAGCCCAGCUGCAUUGCCUUUUUCCUUCUCUCUGCAGAAAGCACACCUAUUUGUCCACCACUCAGAGUGGCUGAUGGCAGACAACGCGCAUGCUGAGCAAGGAAUGAGAAAGUGUUAAAGAUUUUUGGCAGUAUUCAGUGUUGCUGCUUUAAGGAGUCCUUUGUUGUUCCUGCAUGGCAUGGGAUACUCAUCAAAUACGUUUAAAAGGACUAAAAUUGAGAAAAGCUCCAUAACUAAGAUUUAUCACCCUUAACGUUCCAAUUUAAAGUGUUCCUGCAGUACAGAAGGUCACUUUUAUGUAAGCUGUGCUGAAUUUUACAGAGCUACAAUCUUAGUUAACCCUCAGCAUGGCAAUUUCAGCGUGGUUUACAAAAUUCAACCCAGACAGACAUAAUUUCUCUUCUCAGAAGUAUUCUUACACUCCUUAGAGACCAUUCUGAUAGCAGAAGAAAAUUCCUAAUUUGAUAUCUAGCUGUUUAACUUAUUCAUGUAUGGAACGGCAAAGAUGGGCUGAAAAUGGUCAGCCAAGCAGAGCUGAGAGCUGGAGAAGCAUGUCUGAAAUACACUCAAGAAAAAGAAACCUCCCUGGGCAAUCAUAUUAACCUGAACAGCCAAAGGGACAUUUUGCCUAAGCCUCAGGUUAUGAAAUUUCAUUUAAUUUUUAUUCCCCACUUUCAUCACCUGCUUUCAAGGUUAUGCGUUUGAAGUUACCUAACUCCACACAGGGGCACAUGAAUAACUGGAAGGAAUGACAGAAGUGCAUAACCCCGUCACACUUUCAAAAAGAGCCUACAGGGUUAGGUACAAUAAAAGCUGUAACAAUGGAGUCUCGCUGGAAUAUCCAAAAGUGAAUUGAGGUACUUAAUGACCAUCUUAAUUUUUCUAUAAGUGCAGAGCAGUCGCCUUGAGUAAAACACGCUCUUCUGGGAGCAUAAGUUGAGCAACUGAUAUCACAGAUGGUUUUAUAACGUGUUGGUCCAUAGCCUGAAAAAUGCAGUUUAUAUUUUUAAAGCACGGAUGUAACUAAUGAACUUGUUUAAAUACUAGGCAGCAUAGCAAACAUGAGGUGGAAGUCACAGAGAAAAAUGUGAUAGGAUACAAAAUAUAAACUCAUGAUGGGAAUGUACUCUGAGCCAACACAUACAUUUCAGUCCAAAAAUUAGCGUUGCCUAAAAUCAGAGUUCUCUUUUAACCCCUUAUAAAGAUCCAUAAAGCUAUGCAUUUCAUGGUUAGAUCUAAUCUGGGAGUGGAGCUGAACUUCUACCAAAUGAAGGAGAUGGCAGACUUUAGUUUCCAAUCCAGGUCUUUCAAGAACAGAUUAUGUGUACAGUAAACAUGUAUGUACUUUUACAUACUCACUUCUCACAACUUCAGCUAUAUGUUAAAGUAGGAGCAUGCCUUAAAAAUGCAUUAAGCUUGACAGCUGGAAAGAAAUGAGGUUGAUCUGACAUAGAAGAAUACAGAAGAUUUUACUUCAACUUUACAGAGAUAGAGAAGUUCUGCCAUGGAAGAUCAAGACUGUCAUUGUCAAGAGGUGGAAAAGCUGGUAGACAAAAGCAGAUUGUCUUUGAAAUAUUGAUAGAUUAUUAAAAUCUUAACUAAAAU
ensembl:lncRNA